ACCUUCAUUGCUUUCAGUGGGAAACUUUUGGCGUCAGAGUUUCGAUGAGAGGACAUGAGAUGUUUAUCGCUAUGAAAUCACGUUCAAGAAGUCUCAUUCAGCACACAUCGCGAUACUUGCCAUCAGUUCCACAGUUUGGCUGAAAAGACGUAAAGGAAGCAGUCAGCCCAGUGGUGUUUCUGGAGAGGUAUUCCUUCAGAAAUGGAGAAGACAGAAAGCUGCGGAGGCAGAUAUUUGCAGCAUGUUCGAGUGAGCAUGAUGACCACAAGUGUGUGUCGAACUUUUCAUGACCUGAUGACUGUGUUUCCCAAUCCUGGUCCUGGAGAACCCCAGCACUGCACGGUUUUGGUGUCUCUCUUAUCUGGCAAACACACUUUUGAGGUCUUGGAGUCUUCGCU